GAGAAGUUGUCUUCCUUUUUAGAGGCUUGCAUUAUGUGAGACAACUCAGAACAAUACCAUCUACCCAGUGGAUCAAGAGACCUUGAAUCAAGAGACACCAAGUUCAGCCACUGAAAGUCUGGACAGGUCCAGAGAAUGUCAGCCCAUCAACUAGAAGGAAACUUACCUGAGAUAGCCAGAGGGUACUGACUAUAGUUCCCUUUUGCAGAAGACCUAAAAAUAUUUUGUGGGACCAAUGCACUGCAAAACACAAGUUCAGUGGUGUGGCCUUCAUAGUAACAACUAGGACAUGGAGAUGGCUUCUAAUCUACCUAGACUCUUGCUAAAACUGUAAGUUCUAGAAUGCUGGUGGUUGUAGGGCACUAACCAUCAUGUAAUCCAACUCUUUCAUAUUACCCACAGGUAAUGUGAGGCUGAGAGAUGGUAAGUUACUUUCCCAAAAUCAGCCAGUAAGUUGGUGGGCAAUGUCCGAUUUCAACCCCAUCCCCUGAACCCCAUGUCAAUAUUCUCUGUGCAAGCACAGUACCUUUUCUAUUUUCAGAUUAGGCUACUGAUUGAAGUAAGAGGAUUUGCCUAGUGUGUUCAUUCAUUGAUUCUUUCAUUCAUUUACAAAUACUCAUUGAGCACUUCUUGUGUGAAAGAAAAUAUACUAAG
rnacentral:lncRNA from 1 species